UCAUCUCGCCGCCCGUCGCGAGGCGGACGGAGGGAUGGAUGAGGUUACCUGGAAAAAAUCGGGGCGAUCUAGGCGGGCGAACCUCGCCAACGAACGAUCGGACAUGGGAUAACGGAAGAGGGGCGUCGGCUCGGAACCUUUCGUCGGGUUCCUUCGGGGCCGAGGCACGUACGGUGAAUAGGGACGGUCGGGGGCCGCCCGUACCGGGGUCGUGAGAGGUGAAAAUUCUAGGAUCGACCCGAGACGAACCGCCGCGAAAGCAUUCGGCAAGGACGCUUUCAUUAAUCAAGAACGAAAAUCGGGGGGAUCGAAGACGAUCAGAUACCGUCGUAGUCCCGACCGUAAACGAUGCCGACCGAGGGCCCGGAGGAGUUACGUACGACCCUCCGGGGCCCUCCCGCGAGAAAUCAGGAGUAUUCGGGUUCCGGGGGGG
rnacentral:rRNA from 1 species